CUGACUUUGUAUUGGGCAUACUGCAGCCUCACCUUUCCAAGGGAUGCAGGCACCACCUGCCCUGUUUUAGUCUAUUGUUUUACAAGUUUUUAAGGCAAAGAUGUAUUUCUUUUAUGCAUAAGAAGUUUUUGGCUUGCCUGCAUCUACACACACCACAUGUGUGCCUGUGAAGGUGAGAAGAAACUGUAGGAUCCCUUGAAACUGGAUAGAUAGAUGUGAGCUGUCCCGUGGGUGCUGGGAACUGAACCUGCAUCCUUCGAAAGAGAUCUUAACUGCUGAGCCAUCUCCCAGCCCCCCCCCUACCACCUUUUACAACUCCUCUUCUCAAAUUUCCCUUAUUUAACCUUCUCAGUAUAGUUAUGGGAAAUGAUUGAGGCUGCAUGUUGACAGAGUAGUCCAUCUAUUCACCACUUAGCUGAACAAUAAGGCCUACGGUCUCAUUGUCUUUUGUGUGAUUUUGAAUGUUCUGGUGGCCUGGGGCUAUAAACCAACAGUGGAGUACGGAAUGCACAAGGCUCUGGGUUCAAUUUCCCGCACUACAACACCAAUUCUUUUCUUUUCCUUUCUAUUCUGAAACUGCGCCAUCUUAAAGUUUGUUCAAUUUUCUCUAUGACUGUUAAGUAUUUCUCUUCUACAUCCCUUACUUUUAAAAAUUAAAUAUCUAUUAACUAGCAGGGAUGAAUGGAUGCUGUGUCUUGAAGGUCAUCUGGAGAACAGUUUGAAGAAAAGAGGGUGACCCAAUGUAUUUUGUGUGAGCCAAGGGAGCCACGGCUGAGAAUUGUUUGGACAAUUGAUUUGGGACCAGAGAAAUGUGGAGAAGAAUGUAGGCCAGAGGAAGGGAUUUGAGGUGGGCAGCCUCCAGAGUGGACCCCAGGAACCACUCACCUCCUGGCCUUCAUGGUUCUGCACAGGCUCCUUUCUCGUUGUAUGAAGUUUUUCUCCUGUCACUUGCUUCUCACAACUGUCCCAGAGACCCAGCAAUCUAAGUUGAGUAAGACCUUGAUGAUUGUUCGAUAAAGAAACCCAAGGGAGACACCAAGGAUGCAGAGAGAUGGCAAGCCAAAGGUGUGGAGCCUCAGGAAGCUCAGCAUGAGGCCUUCCACCGCAAAGCCAGAGCAAGAAGUUAGAAAUCUCUGCAGGGGCACCAAAUGAUCUCCAGGGCCCUAGCCCUGCAUGAAGGCAUUGUAUCUUCCCUUGGGCUGUACCGCAGCAGUGUGUCAAGGCUAGGGACACACACUUUGUGUAUUUAGUUUCAUAGGCCCAGAGAUGGGGGAGACUUUUAAGACAUGAAUUUUCAUAACCCGGAGCCUCAUGAUCAUGUGAUUUGGAUUAUAAACACUUAGGCUUUGAAAUAACAAAGUCUUUUUUUUAUUGUGGUUGACAACGCAACGCGGCAUCUGUUUGCUCCACGGAUUUUAAAUGUACAGUUCCCCGUUGAUCGCUGCAGGAGCCUCACCGUGGGACAGAGCUCUAGAACUCACUUAUCUGAAGGAAACUCUCAAGCGAGCAGUGUGAGCACAAAGACGUGCAACACCACGGACCAGCAGGGAGUGCAGAUCAAAAUCACAACAUGGUGCACCGUCAGGUCUGGGGAGGUGUCUCAGGAGUAACGCGCUUGCUACACAAGCGUGAAGAUCUAGUUCCAGAUCCCGAUGCCCACAUAAAAAGCUGGACAAGGUAGAGAGCCAGGAGCGGGGUGUGAUGGCUCACGCCUAUAAUCCCAGCACUCAGGAGGCAGAGGCAGGUGGAUCUCUGUGAGUUCGAGGCCAGCCUGGUCCCCAAAGUGAGUCCAGGACAGCCACGGCUACAUGAAAAACAAAAACAAAACAAAACAAAACAAAAAAAGUAGAGUGAAGGGAGACAGAAAUGGGAGGAUCUCUGUGGCUUACUGGCUGGUCAGUCUGACCAAAUACACAAGCUCCAGGUUCAGAGAGAACGGUUCAAAAACCGAUAGGAAAGCAACAGAGGAAGAAACACCAUGUCUAUCCCCGGCCGCCAUCUACAUACCCAUACCCAGGAGCUAGAAUUUCACCCCCUGUCAGAGAGCUGCUUUUACAAAUGCACAUGCUUAUAAUAGUAGCACUUAGAAGUCUUGAGACAGGAAAGCCCAGAAUUCGAGGCCAAGGUAGGCUCCACAGGGAGUUCAAGAUCAGCUUAUAAUAAACCAAGACCCUAUCAGAAAGGACAAAAGAAAAGUUACACACAAGGAUCUAUCCCCAGUGUGACAUUCUUUUCCUGCUGCUGACCUGGAUGUGGAACUCUCAGCUUCUUGCCCAGCGUGGUGUCUGCUUCUGUGCCACCAUGCUUCCAACCAUGAUGAUAAUGGACUAAACCUUUGAACUUGUAAGCCAGCUCCAAUGGAAUAUUUCCUUUUAUAAGAGUUACUGUGGUCAUGAUGUCUCUUUAUAGCAAUGGAAACCCUAACUAAGACAAAACCCCAUGUGUGCAUUCAUUUAUACUCAGUAAAUGUCUCUAGCUGAUGCUCAUGGAUUUCUAAUAAAUGCCACUAGAGUUUUAUGAUUACUUCCUACAAAACAGUAUUUUGCAGUAUGUACCUGGCACACAUGCUUAGUUCCUUGGAUUUUUGUACCUUUGACCUGCUCUUGGAAGGAAGAGAAUGUGGUCCAUAACUCUCCUGCUGUUGUUUAGACUAGUCGAAUUCUGGAGUCCUGAGAAACAUCCACAGAAGCACAUGAGUUCUCUAACUGGUCACAUUGAAGAUCUCAUUAGACGUGGAUGAAGAGAGAAGCAGCUUUGUCCUUUUUCUUUGUGGGAAGGUUUGUGUCAAUGCCUUCAACAAAGUUUUCUCUCGAGUCCUCUGUAUCUCUUCAACUAUGCAGUGCCCCCUCACUUGUUCCAUUUAGGAAAGGAUUUUGACAGAACCUUUGAAAGUUCACAUGAUGAUUUGACAACCUAUUUCAUAAUGUGUUGUGAUAGCUUUAUUUGAAACGUCUGCUUCCUUACCUAAUGACACUUUGACUGACAUUUCUCUCCUCUACCAGAGUCAGACCCCAGUCUUGCUCAAGCUUUGAACAUGAGCACCAAGGACAGUGCCCAACCCACAGGAUGAUCUGCUUGCACUUGAUUCACUAAAUGAUGUUUGUGAAACCAUUGUAACUUAGGUCAUGAAUACUAAGUAUAAAUUUCUUUCAGUUCUCAUUUAGAUGGGUUGUCUCCAACAAACCUUUUAAGAAAAGCCACAUUAAACAGCCUUUUCCAGAAAUGCUCAGAAAGGUGGAAUCCAAAUUGGUUUUCACAGUUGUUGCCUGGCAAAGAACACAAGGUAAUUACCACACAGGAAUAAGACUUCUCUAAUAAAGUUUACCUAAAAAUCU